UUACUCCAUCCCCAGCAGAGCAACUCCCUCCUAUAUUACUCCAUCCACAGCAGAACAACUCCCUCCUACAUUACUCCAUCCACAGCAGAACAACUCCCUCCUAUAUUACUCCAUCCCCCUCCUAUAUUACUCCAUCCCCAGCAGAACAACUCCCUCCUAUAUUACUCCAUUCCCAGCAGAACAUCUCCCUCCUAUAUCACUCCAUCCCCAGCAGAACUCCCUCCUAUAUUACUCCAUCCCCCUCCUACAUUACUCCAUCCCCCUCCUAUAUUACUCCAUCCCCAGCAGAGCAACUCCCUCCUAUAUUACUCCAUCCCCCUCCUAUAUUACUCCAUCCCCAGCAGAACUCCCUCCUAUAUUACUCCAUCCCCCUCCUACUUUACUCCAUCCCCCUCCUAUAUUACUCCAUCCCCAGCAGAGCAACUCCCUCCUAUAUUACUCCAUCCCCAGCAGAACAACUCCCUCCUAUAUUACUCCAUCCCCAGCAGAACAACUCCCUCCUAUAUUACUCCAUCCCCAGCAGAACUCCCUCCAAUAUUACUCCAUCCCCAGCAGAGUAACUCCCUCCUAUAUUACUCCAUCCCCCUCCUAUAUUACUCCAUCCCCAGCAGAGCAACUCCCUCCUAUAUUACUCCAUCCCCAGCAGAACAACUCCCUCCUAUAUUACUCCAUCCCCAGCAGAACUCCCUCCAAUAUUACUCCAUCCCCAGCAGAGUAACUCCCUCCUAUAUUACUCCAUCCCCCUCCUAUAUUACUCCAUCCCCAGCAGAACAACUCCCUCCUAUAUUACUCCAUCCCCAGCAGAACUCCCUCCAAUAUUACUCCAUCCCCAGCAGAACUCCCUCCUAUAUUACACCAUCCCCCUCCUAUAUUACUCCAUCCCUAGCAGAGCAACUCCAUCCUAUAUUACUCCAUCCCCAGCAGAGUAACUCCCUCCUAUAUUACUCCAUCCCCAGCAGAACAACUCCCUCCUAUAUUACUCCAUCCACAGCAGAACAACUCCCUCCUACAUUACUCCAUCCACAGCAGAACAACUCCCUCCCAUAUUACUCCAUCCCCCUCCUAUAUUACUCCAUCCCCAGCAGAACAACUCCCUCCUAUAUUACUCCAUCCCCAGGAGAACAACUCCCUCCUAUAUUACUCCAUCCACAGCAGAACAACUCCCUCCUACAUUACUCCAUCCACAGCAGAACAACUCCCUCCUAUAUUACUCCAUCCCCAGCAGAACGACUCCGUGCUAUAUUACUCCAUCCCCAGCAGAACAACUCCCUCCUAUAUUACUCCAUACCCCUCCUAUAUUACUCCAUCCCCAGCAGAACUCCCUCCUAUAUUACUCCAUCCCCAGCAGAGUAA
rnacentral:lncRNA from 1 species